GUCGAGAUGGCUCAGUGGUUAAGCACUGGCUGCACUUCCAGAGGACCUGGGUUCAAUGCCCAGUACCCACA
rnacentral:tRNA from 1 species